ACGUACACUCCUACGGGAGGCAGCAGUGGGGAAUUUUGGACAAUGGGCGAAAGCCUGAUCCAGCCAUGCCGCGUGCAGGAUGAAGGCCUUCGGGUUGUAAACUGCUUUUGUACGGAACGAAACGGCCUUUUCUAAUAAAGAGGGCUAAUGACGGUACCGUAAGAAUAAGCACCGGCUAACUACGUGCCAGCAGCCGCGGUAAUACGUAGGGUGCAAGCGUUAAUCGGAAUUACUGGGCGUAAAGCGUGCGCAGGCGGUUAUGUAAGACAGUUGUGAAAUCCCCGGGCUCAACCUGGGAACUGCAUCUGUGACUGCAUAGCUAGAGUACGGUAGAGGGGGAUGGAAUUCCGCGUGUAGCAGUGAAAUGCGUAGAUAUGCGGAGGAACACCGAUGGCGAAGGCAAUCCCCUGGACCUGUACUGACGCUCAUGCACGAAAGCGUGGGGAGCAAACAGGAUUAGAUACCCCGGUGUCCCA
rnacentral:rRNA from 1 species